rnacentral:rRNA from 1 species
AUACGUAGGUGGCAAGCGUUGUCCGGAAUUAUUGGGCGUAAAGCGCAUGUAGGCGGUUUGGUAAGUCGGUCGUGAAAAUGCGGUGCUUAACGCCGUAUGGCGAUCGAAACUGCGGAACUUGAGUGCCGGAGAGGAAAGGGGAACUCCCAGGGUAGCGGUGAAAUGCGUAGAUAUUGGGAAGAACACCGGUGGCGAAGGCGCCUUUCUGGACUGUGUCUGACGCUCAGAUGCGAAAGCCAGGGUAGCGAACGGGAUUAGAUACCCCGGUAGUCCUGGCCGUAAACGAUGGGUACUAGGUGUGGGAGGUAUCGACUCCUUCCGUGCCGGAGUUAACGCAAUAAGUACCCCGCCUGGGGAGUACGGCCGCAAGGCUUAAACUCAAAGGAAUUGACGG